UGAAAAUAAAAAAACGUAACAAGGUUUCCGUAGGUGAACCUGCGGAAGGAUCAUUACUGAUUUGCUUAAUUGCACCACAUGUGUUUUUUAUUGAACAAAUUUCUUUGGUGGCGGGAGCAAUCCUACCGCCAGAGGUUAUAACUAAACCAAACUUUUUAUUUACAGUCAAACUUGAUUUAUUAUUACAAUAGUCAAAACUUUCAACAACGGAUCUCUUGGUUCUCGCAUCGAUGAAGAACGCAGCGAAAUGCGAUACGUAAUAUGAAUUGCAGAUAUUCGUGAAUCAUCGAAUCUUUGAACGCACAUUGCGCCCUUUGGUAUUCCAAAGGGCAUGCCUGUUUGAGCGUCAUUUCUCCCUCAAACCCCCGGGUUUGGUGUUGAGCAAUACGCUAGGUUUGUUUGAAAGAAUUUAACGUGGAAACUUAUUUUAAGCGACUUAGGUUUAUCCAAAAACGCUUAUUUUGCUAGUGGCCACCACAAUUUAUUUCAUAACUUUGACCUCAAAUCAGGUAGGACUACCCGCUGAACUUAAGCAUAUCAAAAGGGGGGGAGAAAA
rnacentral:rRNA from 1 species